rnacentral:rRNA from 1 species
GGAGUUAGCCGGUGCUUCUUCUGCGAGUAACGUCACAGAUGUAAGGUAUUAACUUACACCCUUUCCUCCUCGCUGAAAGUGCUUUACAACCCGAAGGCCUUCUUCACACACGCGGCAUGGCUGCAUCAGGGUUUCCCCCAUUGUGCAAUAUUCCCCACUGCUGCCUCCCGUAGGAGUCUGGGCCGUGUCUCAGUCCCAGUGUGGCUGAUCAUCCUCUCAGACCAGCUAGGGAUCGUCGCCUAGGUGAGCCUUUACCUCACCUACUAGCUAAUCCCACCUGGGCUUAUCCAUCAGCGCAAGGCCCGAAGGUCCCCUGCUUUCCCCCGUAGGGCGUAUGCGGUAUUAGCAGUCGUUUCCAACUGUUAUCCCCCACAAAUGGUCAAAUUCCCAGGCAUUACUCACCCGUCCGCCGCUCGUCAUCUUCAAAAGCAAGCUUUUGAAAUGUUACCGCUCGACUUGCAUGUGUUAGGCCUGCCGCCAGCGUUCAAUCUGAGCCAGGAUCAAACUCUGA